AAAUUGAAGAGUUUGAUCAUGGCUCAGAUUGAACGCUGGCGGCAGGCCUAACACAUGCAAGUCGAGCGGUAGCACAGAGAGCUUGCUCUCGGGUGACGAGCGGCGGACGGGUGAGUAAUGUCUGGGAAACUGCCUGAUGGAGGGGAUAACUACUGGAAACGGUAGCUAAUACCGCAUAACGUCGCAAGACCAAAGUGGGGACCUUCGGGCCUCAUGCCAUCAGAUGUGCCCAGAUGGGAUUAGCUAGUAGGUGGGGUAACGGCUCACCUAGGCGACGAUCCUAGCUGGUCUGAGAGGAUGACCAGCCACACUGGAACUGAGACACGGUCCAGACUCCUACGGGAGGCAGCAGUGGGGAAUAUUGCACAAUGGGCGCAAGCCUGAUGCAGCCAUGCCGCGUGUGUGAAGAAGGCCUUCGGGUUGUAAAGCACUUUCAGCGGGGAGGAAGGCGUUAAGGUUAAUAACCUUGGCGAUUGACGUUACCCGCAGAAGAAGCACCGGCUAACUCCGUGCCAGCAGCCGCGGUAAUACGGAGGGUGCAAGCGUUAAUCGGAAUUACUGGGCGUAAAGCGCACGCAGGCGGUCUGUCAAGUCGGAUGUGAAAUCCCGGGCUCAACCUGGAACUGCAUUCGAAACUGGCAGGCUAGAGUCUUGUAGAGGGGGUAGAAUUCCGGUGUAGCGGUGAAAUGCGUAGAGAUCUGGAGGAAUACCGGUGGCGAAGGCGGCCCCUGGACAAAGACUGACGCUCAGGUGCGAAAGCGUGGGGAGCAAACAGGAUUAGAUACCCUGGUAGUCCACGCCGUAAACGAUGUCGAUUUGGAGGUUGUGCCCUUGAGGCGUGGCUUCCGGAGCUAACGCGUUAAAUCGACCGCCUGGGGAGUACGGCCGCAAGGUUAAAACUCAAAUGAAUUGACGGGGCCCGCACAAGCGGUGGAGCAUGUGGUUUAAUUCGAUGCAACGCGAAGAACCUUACCUGGUCUUGACAUCCACAGAACUUUCCAGAGAUGGAUUGGUGCCUUCGGGAACUGUGAGACAGGUGCUGCAUGGCUGUCGUCAGCUCGUGUUGUGAAAUGUUGGGUUAAGUCCCGCAACGAGCGCAACCCUUAUCCUUUGUUGCCAGCGGUUAGGCCGGGAACUCAAAGGAGACUGCCAGUGAUAAACUGGAGGAAGGUGGGGAUGACGUCAAGUCAUCAUGGCCCUUACGACCAGGGCUACACACGUGCUACAAUGGCAUAUACAAAGAGAAGCGACCUCGCGAGAGCAAGCGGACCUCAUAAAGUAUGUCGUAGUCCGGAUUGAGUCUGCAACUCGACUCCAUGAAGUCGGAAUCGCUAGUAAUCGUAGAUCAGAAUGCUACGGUGAAUACGUUCCCGGGCCUUGUACACACCGCCCGUCACACCAUGGGAGUGGGUUGCAAAAGAAGUAGGUAGCUUAACCUUCGGGAGGGCGCUUACCACUUUGUGAUUCAUGACUGGGGUGAAGUCGUAACAAGGUAACCGUAGGGGAACCUGCGGUUGGAUCACCUCCUUA
rnacentral:rRNA from 1 species